rnacentral:lncRNA from 1 species
AAAUCCCUUCCCGAAAGGGGCUUUGAAAGGCUUUUCUUGGCGACACAGUGUUUUGGGCAACCCAAAAGCAACGUGGUGAUUUCAGUGCCCUGAGUCAGGAAGAAGCCGAUUGCAUUUCUCAAUAUAUCCUGGGGUUAAUGGAUGAGAAGCAAGGAGGAUUUCGAAUCAGAAGGGCAACAGCAACACCCUCCUGCCAUUCUUGAGCACACCGCAGGUUUCCAGUGCUGAGCUAGGCACUCUCUGCAGUUUAUUAACCCACACCAGUUGUUACCCAGUCCCAACAGGCCAGAAGAGGAAUGUCCUACGUGAACGUGAUUUAACAGCUCCAUCGCCUGGGGCCACGUGGAAUUCUUGAAGCAGCUGUGUCAGACAUCCGAGUCAAGUUGGGGCAUGAGUGACCUCUCAACAUCUAAUGGAGCAUUUACUCCUUAUGGAGUCUUGCUCUGUUGCCAGGCUGGAGUGCA